AUUCAUUUAGGUGAAAGUAUUGUUCAGGGAUUUCCAGGAUAUGGAUCCCGUGAGAAAGAAGGCAAAAAGAUUUCCCUUUCAGCAGUAAAGGAACGUGAUGUAAGGCUUAUGGGACAUUCACUUCCAUCACUCCUAACAUGUGGCAUGACUGUGUCUACACCAGAAGGCGAGGCGUCACAGGCAAGCUUCACUGGACGAUGUGGAUCAUAAUGUGCAGCCAUGAAACAAAGAAACCCAAAAGAGUCCAUUUUUAAAAAAAGACAGAGAAACAAUGUGGUGAACUAUGUGCCUGUCGGGACACGCCCCCUGCUGACUGCUCCUGUGGCUCCUCCCACGGGCCCCUGUAUAAAGGCGAUCUGAGGCCUGACGCUCGGCCUCAGUCUCCAGGACAUUGUAUGAUAGACACUCACUCCUGGUUCCUUCUUCCAGUCAAUAAAAGCCGAUAUCUCGC